ACAAAUGUACUGUCAGCUAUGUAAAAUACACAGCCUGUGAGAAGAGGAAAUACUGUAAAUCUGGCAAUGAUGCUUUCCCUUGUGUUUCUCUAAUGAAGCUGCUAUUCUGUAGUGUUUCUGAGCGAGGAGCCACCACUGGCCUGAGAGCUGUCACACUCCAUCCCAGUGAAAAGCCACUUCCUUUCCCAGUUCCUUUCUCACAUUGGUGCUGAGGUUUCCAGUGAAGCACAAGGUGAUUUCUAAAGCUACAGUUUAAUAAUGUUCUUAAAAUAUGUCAGACUUUACACAUUAAGUGGAGGAAAAAUGCCGUGCCUCCUACACUCACAGCAGCGGGAGAAGCAUGUUGUGAUGACUAAAUAAAGCCCUUCCUGCAAUCA